ACGCCUACGGGACGCAGCAGUGGGGAAUAUUGCACAAUGGGGGAAACCCUGAUGCAGCAACGCCGCGUGAGUGAAGAAGUAUUUCGGUAUGUAAAGCUCUAUCAGCAGGGAAGAAGAUGACGGUACCUGAAUAAGAAGCCCAGGCUAACUACGUGCCAGCAGCCGCGGUAAUACGAAGGGGGCAAGCGUUAUCCGGAUUUACUGGGUGUAAAGGGAGUGCAGACGGCAGUGCAAGUCUGGAGUGAAAGCCCGGGGCCCAACCCCGGAACUGCUCUGGAAACGGUGCGGCUAGAGUACUGGAGGGG
rnacentral:rRNA from 1 species